UACAGGGGGGUGCAAACGUUGCUCGGAAUCAUUGGGCGUAAAGCGCACGUAGGCGGUCUGUUAUGUCGGAUGUGAAAGCCCUUGGCUCAACUGAGGAAGUGCAUCCGAAACUGGCAGGCUAGAGUACUAAAGAGGAUCGCGGAAUUCCCGGUGUAGAGGUGAAAUGCGUAGAGAUCGGGAGGAAUACCUAUGGCGAAAGCAGGCUUCUGGGCCGUCACUGACGCUGAGCUGCGAAAGCUAGGGGAGCAAACAGG
rnacentral:rRNA from 1 species